rnacentral:rRNA from 1 species
GACGAACGCUGGCGGCGUGCUUAACACAUGCAAGUCGAGCGAGUUGAUUCCCUUCGGGGAUGAAGCUAGCGGCGGACGGGUGAGUAACACGUGGGCAACCUGCCUUAUAGAGGGGGAUAGCCUUCCGAAAGGAAGAUUAAUACCGCAUAACAUCAGAUUAUCGCAUGGUAGACUGAUCAAAGGAGCAAUCCGCUAUAAGAUGGGCCCGCGUCGCAUUAGCUAGUUGGUGAGGUAACGGCUCACCAAGGCGACGAUGCGUAGCCGACCUGAGAGGGUGAUCGGCCACAUUGGGACUGAGACACGGCCCAGACUCCUACGGGAGGCAGCAGUGGGGAAUAUUGCACAAUGGGGGAAACCCUGAUGCAGCAACGCCACGUGAGUGAUGAAGGCCUUCGGGUUGUAAAGCUCUUUGAUCAGGGACGAUAAUGACGGUACCUGAAGAACAAGCCACGGCUAACUACGUGCCAGUCGCCGCCGUAAUAC